GGAACUCAUCGGGCCAGGCAGCAUCUAUGGAAAAGAAUACAGUCAACGUCUUGGACCAAAAUACCAAAAUGUUCUGGCAGGACUGGAAAUUUAAAAGAAAAAGACAUGCUGCACAUCAACAGAUACAGUAGGUGGAUGAGGUUCUGUCAGAGUGCUUGAUCUACUGCUGCACUCAGAGUGUGGUUCUUUAUGGUGACGGCUCCUGCUCCCAGAGCUCACCGAUAUCCCCUGGAAGAGGUGCAUGCCUGGGGUUCUGAGGCUCUGCAGUCCUGUGGAGGAGCUGAUUCCACACCGCUGUCACCGACUGAAGCAUCAUGGGAGAAAACGGAACGUCUCGAACAGUGGAUUGGCUGUCCAAGGCCUCUGUACUCAGAUCGCUCUCCCUUUCUCUUGAUGGUGGGGGAGAGUUUGUUGCUGAUUCUCGAGUUGGAAAACUUAAGAUAAGAGUGAUGCAGCAGACUUUAACAUUGCAAUCAGGGAGUUGUUCUGUUCAGUUAGUCUCUCCUCUCGCUGUGUAACACCUCUUGGUCCCAUUAUUAGGGAGAGAGAGAGAGAGAGAGCCUGUGGCAUGUUGAA